rnacentral:tRNA from 1 species
GGAGAGGUGGCAGAGUGGUCGAAUGCGCCGCACUCGAAAUGCGGUUUUGGGGCAACUCAAACGGGGGUUCGAAUCCCUCCCUCUCCGCCA